CGACUUUCAUUAAUUUCAAAUUGCAACAGUUAUUAAAAACGCUUAAUAGCUUAACAGGGAUUUUAAACUCUCGCUACUACCUGGUCGAAAUUCAUAUUGGUACACUCCUUUUUUUAAAUAAAAUCGGGUUUACUCUUCUUACUUUUUUUUUACAUUUUGUAUCUUAUAUAUAAAGAAAAUGAACAUUGAACAUUUCUGACUCUAUAAAGCAUAUAUAUUCUUGAUCAGCAUCAAUAGCCGAGUCAAUUGAGCCAUGUCUGUCUGUCCGUCUGCCCGUCCCUAUCAGCUACUAGUGCUCAAAGACUAUAAGAACUAGGGCAACGACAUUUUGUAUCCAGACUUCUGUGAUAUGUCACUGUUACAGUUUAUUUCAGAAUAACGACACCUCGUUGAAGCAGCCUUAUAAAUGGUUGCUUCAACUUUCGAUCGGAUGUGCUCAGUUAAACAUGCUCACAUUUCUCACCCAAAUGCGGUUAAUUCGUGCUCUGUUGUCUCUCGUUGUAAUUUUUACCGCAACUUUACUUAUCUAAGUACAAUUUAAUCUCUUCUCUAUGGUAAGAGAACUCUAAAUUUAGUAAAUAUUUUAACGAAAUAAGCCUAUAAAACGUACCCAGUGUAAUAUACAUACAAACUCAACUUCGUCUACAAUUAUUUUUUACGUAUGAACUUUUAUUCACUAUUUUAACCAAAAAAUAUAAAAUUUCAAUACUUUUUAAUAAUAAAUAAUGAAAAACAGCAAGUUCUUCGUACAUCAUAUUUUAAGGAAAAUUUUCAUUUGUAAUGGUGUACAAGUGACGUUUGUCAAGGUCUCAAAAGAUGCACUUGGUUACUGUACAAACACAACUAGAAUUCCCUAAAAUAUAUUGGACGUUUACAAAGCGUUUCGAACGAUUUUACAUUCAGGUAGUGCACCAAAAUGAACAAGAUCCUACAAAUCGGAAGUACUUUUGAAAAUGUUACUUAUAAUGUUCGCUUAUAAUGCCAAUAAAAAACAAUUAUAUCUACA